rnacentral:tRNA from 1 species
GCGGGCGUAGCUCAAUGGUAGAGCGCCAGCUUCCCAAGCUGGACACGCGGGUUCGAUUCCCGUCGCCCACUCCA